rnacentral:rRNA from 1 species
UAAUACGUAGGUCCCGAGCGUUGUCCGGAUUUAUUGGGCGUAAAGCGAGCGCAGGUGGUUUAAUAAGUCUGAUGUAAAAGGCAGUGGCUCAACCAUUGUGUGCAUUGGAAACUGUUAGACUUGAGUGCAGUAGAGGAGAGUGGAAUUCCAUGUGUAGCGGUGAAAUGCGUAGAUAUAUGGAGGAACACCGGUGGCGAAAGCGGCUCUCUGGACUGUAACUGACACUGAGGCUCGAAAGCGUGGGUAGCAAACAGGAUUAGAUACCCUGGUAGUCCACGCCGUAAACGAUGAGUGCUAGUUGUUUGGGGCUAUCCAGCCCUAAGUGACGCAGCAAACGCAUUAAGCACUCCGCCUGGGGAGUACGACCGCAAGGUUGAAACUCAAAUGAAUUGACGG